ACAGAUAUAUUCGUAUCUGAUACCAAUAAAGUAAUUUAUACUUUAAUAAAUCAUAGGGUUUCGAUUUCUUUAAUUGAUGUUUGGAUCAAUUAAGGCUCGCAACUUAUUCUCCGCCAAGAGAAUAGGUUGGU
rnacentral:sRNA from 1 species